rnacentral:lncRNA from 1 species
AUCUGAAGUGUGAAUAGGAUUGGUGAAAGAGUGAAAGAGUGUUGUGUGCUUUUGCUGAGUUUAGGAUGGUGUCAAUUGUGCCUCAGGAGAAGAGUUUAGACAUUCUGUCCUGAUGAAUGUAAUCAAGUCUUUAUUUCAUGGUUUCUCUUAACGCAAAUACGUACAGGUUCAUAUUCGUCGAUGAGGGUGAGAGGAAAACUAUCGCCAACAGAAAGAAUCCAGAUAGGAAGAGAGAAAAAGAAAGACCAGAGAUGGUAUACUGUGGUGGUUAAAGGCCAGAGACUGGGGAAAAAGUGGUUAUGGGUUUAAAGUCUGCCUCCAGCAUUUUCUUGCUCUAUAAUUUUGGAGAAGUUACCAAAAAUCUCAAAACCCAAGUUUUUUUGUAAGAUAUCUACAUUUCAGACUUCUUGUGAAGACUAAAAAAGAUAAUGUUCAUGUGGGCUGCUCCUCAUAACCCUGCUCAAACACUACUGAGGCAUCAGGAUCUUCAAGAUUCAUAUGAGGAAACUGAAGCGAAAGAAUGUUGACUAAUUUUGUCAAGGUCACACAACUGCUCUCUUUGGUGACUUCCUGAAGCUUGAAGUAUCUUCCUUGGGAGACGUAUUAUAGAAUUUGAAAUCCCACUGGCCAGAUCUCAGCAUGUAGUUUCAUCCCAACUCUACAGAAGUCUGGAAAAUACAGAGAGAACAUGGAAGAAGAGAUGAGAGCUCCAUCUCUCUGCUGGUGGAAGGAGAGGUUGUCUUUCCCUUCCCAUAGGGCAAGAAGAGCUGCCUCCACAUCCUCCUUCUGCUGUAGCUGAAGAGCCUGUUUAAAGGAACAUCCUGAUGGGGCUCAGCCUUUUGACCCCCAGAAAACAUGGCUUUGUCUGCCAUCCUGCAGCUCAUCAUGGGAGCCUGCAAAGUGGUUGGGGGCAGCACACACCAGCAUGCUGUGAAGAGAGGAAAGAGCUGCCGGGAUAACAACCCCGCAGCCACCAUAAUGACUCAGAUUAGAACACAAGGGAACACCAGCCAUUUUUUAGUCUGUCAGUUUUUCUAUUAUCCUCAAGACUGAGCAUGAAACAUUCAUUAUAACACGUCCUUAUUGAUUCAACUGAUGGAAAUAUAUUGGUAUUAAUAACACGAAACUCUAAGGCACUGAGGAUAAUAAAAUGAUUGCGAACAUAA